rnacentral:rRNA from 1 species
UACGUAGGUGGCAAGCGUUGUCCGGAUUUACUGGGCGUAAAGCGUAUGCAGGCGGGAUCUUAAGUCGGAUGUGAAAGGUUGGAGCUCAACUCUAACACUGCUCCCUAUACUGGGGUUCUUGAGUGCCGGAGAGGAAGACGGAACGACACGUGUAGCGGUGAAAUGCGUUGAGAUGUGUCGGAACACCAAUGGCGAAAGCAGUCUUCUGGACGGAUACUGACGCUGAGAUACGAAAGCCAAGGUAGCAAACAGG